rnacentral:rRNA from 1 species
AUUGAACGCUGGCGGCAGGCCUAACACAUGCAAGUCGAGCGAGCGGCGGACGGGUGAGUAAUGCCUGGGAAACUGCCUGAUGGAGGGGGAUAACUACUGGAAACGGUAGCUAAUACCGCAUACCAUCAGAUGUGCCCAGAUGGGAUUAGCUAGUAGGUGGGGUAACGGCGCACCUAGGCGACGAUCCCUAGCUGGUCUGAGAGGAUGACCGGCCACACUGGAACUGAGACACGGUCCAGACUCCUACGGGAGGCAGCAGUAGGGAAUAUUGCGCAAUGGGCGAAAGCCUGAUGCAGCCACGCCGCGUGAGUGAUGAAGGCCUUCGGGUUGUAAAGCUCUGUCAGCAGGGAGGCGGUACCCAAAGAAAAAGCCCCGGCUAACUCCGUGCCAGCAGCCGCGGUAAUAC